CCCAGGCUGCUCAGUCCAUGCCCCAGGGGCUGAGCCAGGGAGCCAGGCAGCAACAGAUGUCCCGGGGCAGGCAUCGCUUGCGAUGGAUGGGGCGGUAGGGACGGCUUCAGAGCAGCGGCCACUUUCGUCUGCCACCGUGGAGG
rnacentral:SRP_RNA from 16 species